AGGUGUGUCAACGUUUACAAAAUUAUGGAAAAGGUACAUUUUCACCCGUAGAUACUUCAACACUAUCCCCAACGGAGAUAACAUCGAAUGUAUGCUGAAAAAAUGGAGAGAAUCGGAAUUUAUAUAGAAAAAGGCCAGUUAUUGAACUUCAAAAACAGACAUUCUUCAAGAUCUGUUCAAAGUCCCACCACGAGCAAUAUAUCGUCACCAUUACCAAAAUAUCCAAAUUUAAGUCUUGGAAGAGUGGAUGACCAAUUAGUUUUUGGAAAAUUCCAAAGAUGUCAUCCUAAUUUACCUUAUGGAUGGGUACUUAAUCCCGACCCAAAGAACAAAAAAGGAAUUCUGUGAAGAAGAAGAUACAUAUAAUGUAUUAUUGAAAUUUUUCUGUGUAUUUACAUAAUUUAAUUUUUUUAUUUCAUGAUUCUCCAAAAAUUCAAGUUCAAAAUACCAAA